rnacentral:rRNA from 1 species
AACGAACGCUGGCGGCAGGCCUAACACAUGCAAGUCGAGCGAACCGCAAGGUUAGCGGCGGACGGGUUAGUAACGCGUGGGAACGUGCCCAAAGGUACGGAAUAGCCUCGGGAAACUGAGAGUAAUACCGUAUGUGCCCGAAAGGGGAAAGAUUUAUCGCCUUUGGAUCGGCCCGCGUUGGAUUAGGUAGUUGGUGGGGUAACGGCCUACCAAGCCGACGAUCCAUAGCUGGUUUGAGAGGAUGAUCAGCAACACUGGGACUGAGACACGGCCCAGACUCCUACGAGAGGCAGCAGUGGGGAAUCUUAGACACUGGGGGAAACCCUGAUCUAGCCAUGCCGCGUGAGCGAUGAAGGCCUUAGGGUUGUAAAGCUCUUUCACCGGGGAAGAUAAUGACGGUACCCGGAGAAGAAGCCCCGGCUAACUCCGUGCCAGCAGCCGCAGUAACAC